AACUGAGCAGAGAGAGAGGCAAGGUGGGCACAGCCCCCCGAACCCUGAGCAGGCACCAUGGAUUGGAAGAAGCUUCAGGACCUGUUGAGCGGUGUGAACCAGUACUCCACCGCAUUCGGGCGCAUCUGGCUGUCGGUAGUGUUCGUCUUCCGGGUGCUGGUGUAUGUGGUGGCUGCAGAGCGUGUGUGGGGCGACGAGCAAAAAGACUUUGACUGUAACACCAGGCAGCCCGGUUGUACCAACGUGUGCUAUGACAACUUCUUCCCCAUCUCCAACAUCCGCCUCUGGGCCCUGCAGCUCAUCUUCGUCACGUGUCCCUCUAUGCUGGUCAUCCUGCACGUAGCCUACCGCGAGGAGCGGGAACGGAAGCAUCGCCAGAAGCACGGGGAGCAUUGCGCCAAACUGUACAGCCACCCGGGCAAGAAGCACGGCGGCCUGUGGUGGACCUACCUGUUCAGUCUCAUCUUCAAGCUCAUCAUUGAAU
rnacentral:lncRNA from 1 species